rnacentral:rRNA from 1 species
GAUGAACGCUAGCUACAGGCUUAACACAUGCAAGUCGAGGGGUAACAAGAGGAAAGCUUGCUUUUCUUGUUGACGACCGGCGCACGGGUGAGUAACGCGUAUCCAACCUGCCUAUAACUAGGGAAUAACCUUGCGAAAGCAAGACUAAUACCCGAUGAUUUCCUUUGAUGACAUCCGAUUAGGAAUAAAGAUUUAUUGGUUAUAGAUGGGGAUGCGUCUGAUUAGCUUGUUGGCGGGGUAACGGCCCACCAAGGCAACGAUCAGUAGGGGUUCUGGGAGGAAGGUCCACCACAUUGGAACUGAGACACGGUCCAAACUCCUACGGGAGGCAGCAGUGAGGAAUAUUGGACAAUGGGGGCAACCCUGAUCCAGCGAUGCCGCGUGUGUGAAGAAGGCCUGCGGGUUGUAAAGCACUUUAGUUGGGGAGGAGAAGGUGCGCAUGAAUAGUGCGUAUUGGAGACGUUACCCAAAGAAUAAGCACCGGCAAACUCUGUGCCAGCAGCCGCCGUAAAAC